CUAAAAUCAAUGAAGGGGAACAGUAGACCUUAACUUAAACCAGAGAACCGGGGCAGCUGGAAACCGGUAACUUUAUGGUCGAAUUACACCCUGGAGAUGCAAUUUUGAAACUUGUCAUUAUUAUCCGGGCAGGAAGUAAAUUUUGCCGCCUUAGGCGUUAAUUUAUACAAGUGACUUCACAUAUAAUUUACUGUGAUUUAUAGUUGUAAAUUUUGUGAAGUAACUCAGGUGGUACCGCGAACCUUCGUCCUGUGU
rnacentral:ncRNA from 1 species